GUGGAUGCACCUCAUUGGUAGAGCAUGUGCUUGGCAUGCACAAGUCCCUGGUUUCAAUUCCCAGCUAGCAUG
rnacentral:tRNA from 1 species